rnacentral:piRNA from 1 species
UCAUAUUGGACUAGGUCAGGUUCUUCAUUU